rnacentral:rRNA from 1 species
UUCCGCAAUGGGGGAAAGUCUGACGGAGCAACGCCGCGUGAGUGAUGAAGGAUUUCGGUUCGUAAAGCUCUGUUGUUAGGGAAGAACAAGUAUCGUUCUAAUAGGGCGGCACCUUGACGGUACCUAACCAGAAAGCCACGGGUAAAUACGUGCCAGCAGCCCCGGUAAUACGUAGGGGGCAAGCGUUUUCCGGAAUUUUUGGGGGUAAAACGCGCGCAGGCGGUCUUUUAAGUCGAUGUGAAAACCCCCGGGUCAACCCUGGAGGGUCAUUGGAAACUGGGAGACUUGAGUACAGAAGAGGGGAGUGGAAUUCCCCGUGUAGCGGUGAAAAGCGUAGAUAUGUGGAGGAACACCCGUGGGGAAGGGGACUCUCUGGUCUGUAACUGACGCUGAGGCGCGAAAACGUGGGGAGCAAACACGAUUUGAUACCCCGGUAGUCCCCGCCCUAAACGAUGAGUGAUAGGUGUUAGGGGUUUCGAUGCCCUUAGUGCCGAAGUUAACACAUAAGC